rnacentral:rRNA from 1 species
UACGUAGGGGACGAGCGUUGUCCGGAAUUACUGGGCGUAAAGGGCGCGCAGGCGGUAUAUCAAGUCAGCUGUCAAAGACUGGGGCUCAACCCUGGUAUGCGGUUGAAACUGAUAUGCUGGAGUGCUGUAGAGGCAAGUGGAAUUCCCAGUGUAGCGGUGAAAUGCGUAGAUAUUGGGAAGAACACCGGUGGCGAAGGCUACUUGCUGGGCAGCAACUGACGCUGAGGCGCGAAAGCCAGGGGAGCAAACGGGAUUAGA